CUACGGGGCGCUCCAGUGAGGAAUAUUGCACAAUGGAGGAAACUCUGAUGCAGCAACGCCGCGUGGAGGAUGACGCAUUUCGGUGUGUAAACUCCUUUUAUAUGUCAAGAAAAUGACAGUAGCAUAUGAAUAAGCACCGGCUAACUCCGUGCCAGCAGCCGCGGUAAUACGGAGGGUGCAAGCGUUACUCGGAAUCACUGGGCGUAAAGGACGCGUAGGCGGGUUGGAAAGUCAGGUGUGAAAUCCUACAGCUUAACUGUAGAACUGCACUUGAAACUUCUAAUCUAGAGUAUGGGAGGGGGAGAUGGAAUUAGUGGUGUAGGGGUAAAAUCCGUAGAUAUCACUAGGAAUACCUAAAGCGAAGGCGAUCUCCUGGAACAUUACUGACGCUAAGGCGUGAAAGCGUGGGGGGCAAACAGGAUUAGAUACCCUCGUAGUC
rnacentral:rRNA from 1 species